GCUAACAUUCAAAUUAAUUAAAUUUGAUAAGUGAACUAAACUCAGUUUUCAUCAACCUGUUGUGAACACUACUUUUAAAUAAGUAAGUAGUAAUUUGGGGUUGGAGAACUUGCUUAACUUGAUAUAUCCCAGUUAAGUCAAAUUAGAAAAAAUAAUUUAUUGUACCCAGUGUCCUUUGCGCGUUCUAUCAGACAUGCGCAGAUCUGCCCUGCCUACUUUCGCGCUCUUUCCAACACCUUUCUCAUUUAUUUUCGCCAUUGUGGGUUUAUUUGUCCUCAGCACACUGAUUUGGCUGAAGCAAAUGGUCAGAAGUCCACACAUACCUCAGUCUCUGCAAUUACAGGUCAACCAGAGCAGUAUUCUCUAAUGCAGUGGACUUGUAAGUACUGCACAUUUUCUGCUGGAAAGAGAGGCUACUUGCUUAAGCAUUACCGCUUAAAACAUGGAUACCACACUCGGACAUCCCUACUCCCCAUGUCUUCAUAAGGACUGCCUCUGCACAUUUAAAUCUUUUAAUGCACUCAAAGUACACCUAUCGACAUGCCACUCUCAAAAAGAUGCAGACAAAAGUGGAGAAACUGCAUUUGACUGUCAGUUGUGCAACUUUGUGGAGCCUUGUUAAGAAGCAGACUUCUUUACCCAUUUGCGAAGACAUCUUAAGCUGAGGCAAAUGGUUACUUGCAUAUAUCAAGACUGUAACUUUCAGAGCACUGUUUAUUCUACCUUCACUGCACACAAAAGCAGAAAUGUGAAAUGAGUUUGAACCAUAGUAUGGGUAGGACAUUUGUGUCUAAAUCAUUCAAUCCCAAUAAAAGUUGCUUCAAUCAAAAAAAAAUAUUUUUAAUGAAAGAAAAAGAACCUCUUGCUAAAAUGUUUUUUUGAAAAUAUAUAUUUUUUGAAAUAUAUAUAUUUUUUUAUUGACGUGUCAC